rnacentral:rRNA from 1 species
CACACCGCCCGUCACACCAUGGGAGUCGAUUGCUCCAGAAGUCGGAGAGCUAACCGCAAGGAGGCAUCCGCCCAAGGAGUGGUCGGUAACUGGGGUG